GACGAACGCUGGCGGCGUGCUUAACACAUGCAAGUCGAACGGAAAGGCCCUGCUUUUGUGGGGUGCCCGAGUGGCGAACGGGGGAGUAACACGUGAGUAUCCUGCUCUUGAUUUUGGGAUAACUUCAGGAAACUGGGGCUACUACCGGAUAGCAGAUCCUGCUGCAUGGUGGGGGUUGGAAAGUUUCGGCGGUGGUGGUUGGAUUCGCGGCUUAUCAGCUUGUUGGUGGGGUAGUGGCUUACCAAGGCUUUGACGGGUAGCUGGCCUGAGAAGGUGACCGGCCACAUUGGGACUGAGAUACGGCCCAGACUCCUACGGGAGGCAGCAGUGGGGAAUAUUGCACAAUGGGCGGAGGCCUGAUGCAGCAACGCCGCGUGCGGGAUGACGGCCUUCGGGUUGUAAACCGCUUUCGCCUGUGACGAAGCGUGAGUGACGGUAAUGGGUAAAGAAGCACCGGCUAACUACGUG
rnacentral:rRNA from 1 species